CACUUUUGGAUUUUUGUGUCUUUUUUUUCUUUGCUCGCCGCGGAUUAUUUUGGCCCAGGGUGUUGGUCGCGAAACGAGCUUUCCGAAAAGUACUUACGGGCCCCGUGAAUCCACCGGGAUCGAAAGUUAGGAACGUGAACGUAGAGACGCGCGAAUUGUGUUUACCAAGCAAUUUUCAUUUUCGUAUCUCGUCGUAUGUAAGUAGUAUUCCGUCAAUCGAGUCGGGCUCGAGAAAUUGCGUUAAUUGAACACUCUAGACUUUCUCUCGAGAAGAGAAAUUGAGUCGGUUCAAGUAAAUUUGCAAUGAAUAACAUGAC
rnacentral:misc_RNA from 1 species